rnacentral:rRNA from 1 species
AACGAACGCUGGCGGCAUGCCUAACACAUGCCAGUCGAACGAGACCUUCGGGUCUAGUGGCGCGCGGGUGCGUAACGCGUGGGAACCUGCCCUUAGGUUCGGAAUAACUCCCCGAAAGGGGUGCUAAUACCGGAUAAUGUCUUCGGACCAAAGAUUUAUCGCCUUUGGAUGGGCCCGCGUUGGAUUAGCUAGUUGGUAGGGUAAAAGCCUACCAAGGCGACGAUCCAUAGCUGGUCUGAGAGGAUGAUCAGCCACACUGGGACUGAGACACGGCCCAGACUCCUACGGGAGGCAGCAGUGGGGAAUAUUGGACAAUGGGCGAAAGCCUGAUCCAGCAAUGCCGCGUGAGUGAUGAAGGCCUUAGGGUUGUAAAGCUCUUUUACCCGGGAUGAUAAUGACAGUACCGGGAGAAUAAGCUCCGGCUAACUCCGUG